rnacentral:rRNA from 1 species
GUUUGAUCCUGGCUCAGGACGAACGCUGGCGGCGCGCCUAACACAUGCAAGUCGAACGAGCGAGAGAGAGCUUGCUUUCUUGAGCGAGUGGCGAACGGGCGAGUAACGCGUGAGGAACCUGCCUCAAAGAGGGGGACAACAGUUGGAAACGACUGCUAAUACCGCAUAAGCCCACAGGUCGGCAUCGACCAGAGGGAAAAGGAGCAAUCCGCUUUGAGAUGGCCUCGCGUCCGAUUAGCUAGUUGGUGAGGUAAUGGCCCACCAAGGCAACGAUCGGUAGCCGGACUGAGAGGUUGAACGGCCACAUUGGGACUGAGACACGGCCCAGACUCCUACGGGAGGCAGCAGUGGGGAAUAUUGCACAAUGGGGGAAACCCUGAUGCAGCGACGCCGCGUGGAGGAAGAAGGUCUUCGGAUUGUAAACUCCUGUUGUUGAGGAAGAUAAUGACGGUACUCAACAAGGAAGUGACGGCUAACUACGUGCCAGCAGCCGCGGUAAAACGUAGGUCACAAGCGUUGUCCGGAAUUACUGGGUGUAAAGGGAGCGCAGGCGGGAAGACAAGUUGGAAGUGAAAUCUAUGGGCUCAACCCAUAAACUGCUUUCAAAACU